rnacentral:rRNA from 1 species
UACGUAGGGUGCGAGCGUUAAUCGGAAUACUGGGCGUAAAGCGUGCGCAGGCGGUUUUGUAAGCCAGAUGUGAAAUCCCCGGGCUCAACCUGGGAAUGGCAUUUGGGACUGCAAGGCUGGAGUACGGCAGAGGAGACUGGAAUCCUGGUGUAGCAGUGAAAUGCGUAGAGAUCAGGAGGAAUACCGAUGGCGAAGGCAGGUCUCUGGGCUGAUACUGACGCUCAUGCACGAAA